rnacentral:rRNA from 1 species
UACGUAGGGUGCAAGCGUUGUCCGGAAUUAUUGGGCGUAAAGAGCUCGUAGGCGGCUCGUCGCGUCGACUGUGAAAACCUGGGGCUUAACUCCGGGCCUGCAGUCGAUACGGGCAGGCUAGAGUUCGGUAGGGGAGACUGGAAUUCCUGGUGUAGCGGUGAAAUGCGCAGAUAUCAGGAGGAACACCGGUGGCGAAGGCGGGUCUCUGGGCCGAUACUAACGCUGAGGAGCGAAAGCGUGGGGAGCGAACAGG